UACUGUUUUACCAUGGUUCUACAAUACAACUUCUCUCAGCUUUUUUCACUGAGAAAACUUGCUUGUAAAGUUAUACCUGGUUUUUCAGUUCAAAAGCUAAUGGACUACUUCGGAUGCCAGGCAAACGUGCUGGUGCUCGUUCACACAGGUCGUUUGCUCGGCAACAGGUAGGUGAUAACCUUUUUAAUAUUGGUUCAUGUGGUAACAAUCAUCUUCGGCCCAGCUCUAUUCUCAACCAUUCAAGUGUUGAGAAACUAACUGCCAGGCAUUGGAAUACUCACUCUCUUUGCAAUAAAACAUGACUGUCCGAUCGGAUGGGAAUUUAACGCCGAUUUUUUGAGCUGUUAUUACUUGGUUCAAGAUACACAUACUGACUAUCUAUUAGCAAACAGCACUUGUCAAACACUUGGUGGACAUCUGGCGGCCAUUUCUACUCCGGAGGAGAACUCUUGGAUAAAAACGAAGUUGUAUGCGGACUCAAUAAUGUGGCAACCCGCUUGGAUCCGUUAUGAUGAUAGGUUGUUUGGGUAUCAAAGUAAUAUAUAUAUAUGUCCAUAUUUUAAAAUUAAUUUAUCUAAAGAUUUUUUACAUGUACAUUAAAUAAGCAUAAUUAUGACAAUGAUAGUGUAGAUGAACAGAUUGCAAGAGUAACACGUUCGUUUAGUUAGCUGCGAAUUAUUAGACGAGUGAAAAUCUAUUAUCAUGAAUAUCUUAUGUUUGGUAAUAUUGGAAAACCGGGUUAUUGAGGUUCAUAGAGCGAAAAUGUUAAGCUAUUUCUAAAUCUUGUUUUAGCUUGAAUUACAUUUACACUACUAGAAGUAGAAAUGUGUGAAUUGUCCUAUAUUUCCUGUACAUAAGACAUGCUUAUAAAAAUUCGAUGAAAGUGUCAAGCUAUGAUUGAAUAAGUUAACAAUGUAUUACAUUAUAACAACGUGUUCAGGUAGUUCAUCAAUUACGUCAGUAUAAUACCCGUGCUCACAUUACAUUAGUAUCUUGAACGAGGCAGUAUUACUUGUAUAAUUCAGGGCAGGGCAGGGGUGGGUGUAAUGUAAUAACAUGGUUUAAGUGUCGUUAUUAAAUUGUUGCGAGUUCUUGAUGUUUAACUUCUACGUAACCUGUAUCUUAUGUCCAAAUAUGUUAUUUUUUAUGAGAUUGGAAAUUUACGGAUUAUGAGAUUUUGAAAUUCAUUUAUUAAGCCCCAUCAUCUCUACAUUGCGUGAGCCCGGCUCUAGUUGUUCCUUGGCGUCUCCUGAUCUAGUUACGGCUCCCCUGGCCGAGCUACGGUCCUCCUUUCCUCAUGUCCCCCACACACCGUUGCGCUAUUGUUACAUUCCCCUUCCCCCAACCUAAUCUGUCCGAUUAGGUUGGUGGUAAAGGUGGUGAUGUAACAAUAACGCAACGGUCCUUCUUUCAACCUGUCCCCAGCACACCGUUGCGCUAUUGUUACACCCCCUCCUCCACCCUCCGAACAUAGUCGGACAGAUUGCUCUAUAUACAAAGUAUCUUAUAAAUGUUUGUAGAAUAAGCAUAUUCAAUCAUCUACCAGUUGAAUUCUAAGCUACCUAAAACCCUCAUUGGUAUAGUUGUUUGAAGCAUCUACACACUACGCAGACGGCUCGAGUUUAAAUCAUUGUUGAAGAAAACAAUUAUCACUCUCGCAGAAUUCUACAUCUCUUAACGGCGUCUAUUUGUAAAGAGUUUAAUUAGAAAAAGCACGAACGUAAUUUCUUCUGGUGUAAUGAACAAUAAAACAAAUCGAAAAAUUAUCACUGCAUAUCCUUAUAUGGUCAAAUUAUGGAGAAAAAUAACUACUGUCCGAGUCAAUAUAUUUAGUACCGGUAUGCAACUAAGUCAUUAAGGAAUGGGGAUCGCCAACAGACUGGUUUUUUUUUUUAUACCUCUUUAAUGAUUCCUUCUUCAAAUAAAUAAACCGAAAUGAAGCUCUGAAUAAUAUUUAUUUUGUUUUGCUUAAGAUUAUAACCUCUGUAGAUUGAUAAACUAAUAAUUAGAUAUUGAUUUCUGAAACAAAAUCAUAAAAAUUAAUGGAAAAAGUUUUUAAAUCUGAAUACAUCUAAGCUGUAUUUUUUUUUUUGUUGGUUUAC